rnacentral:tRNA from 2 species
UUUCCCAGUUCAAUCCGGGUGUCGCCU